CCUACGGGAGGCAGCAGUGAGGAAUAUUGGUCAAUGGACGAGAGUCUGAACCAGCCAAGUAGCGUGAAGGAUGACUGCCCUAUGGGUUGUAAACUUCUGUUAUAAAGGAAUAAAACGAGGCACGUGUGCCUUUUUGCAUGUACUUUAUGAAUAAGGAGCGGCUAACUCCGUGCCAGCAGCCGCGGUAAUACGGAGGAUCCGAGCGUUAUCCGGAGUUAUUGGGGUUAAAGGGAGCGUAGUUGGGUUGUUAAGUCAGUUGUGAAAGUUUGCGGCUAAACCGUAAAAUUGCAAUUGAUACUGGCAGUCUUUAGUACAGUUGCGGUCGGCGGACUUCGUGGUGUAGCGGUGACAUGCUUAGCUUUCACGA
rnacentral:rRNA from 1 species